GGGGCUGUAGCUCAGCUGGAUAGAGCGAUCGCCUCCUAAGCGAUAGGUCGAGGGUUCGAAUCCCGCCAGUCCCG
rnacentral:tRNA from 2 species